rnacentral:misc_RNA from 1 species
UCCACGCCUUUUUUGGUGUAGAUACCAUGGGCAAUCCGCAGCGAAGCCUCUAAGUCCGGCCGCCGGAUAUGAGGAACGUUCACAGACUAAGUGGAAGUGGGUGGAGCGUUCGCCGCUCUGCUUAAGAUAUAGUCGGUCCCCUUGGGAAACUAAGGGGGUGAGUACACUGCUCGAAAUUUAAACUUGAGCGCAUCUCGGAUAGCGCUCGUGUUAGAAUUUCGGGACCGUCGAUUGCCUCGCGGUUCGACGGCUCUUAAAACGUUCCGUAGGUGAACCUGCGGAAGGAUCAUUACAGAAAGUAAACGCGGAUCAAACCGCGAACUUUUAAACCUUUGACGAUUGACUCAUGUUGCCUCGGCGGGUUCUCUCGCCAGAGGAUACAUCAAAACUCCUGUUUUAACGGUGUUGUCUGAGCUACAAGCAACGAAUCAAAACUUUCAACAACGGAUCUCUUGGUUCUGGCAUCGAUGAAGAACGCAGCGAAAUGCGAUAAGUAGUGUGAAUUGCAGAAUUCAGUGAAUCAUCGAAUCUUUGAACGCACAUUGCGCCCCUUGGUAUCCCGAGGGGCAUGCCUGUUCGAGCGUCAUUUCACCACUCAAGCCUGGCUUGGUGUUGGGCGACGUCCCCUUCAGGGACGCGCCUCGAAACGCUCGGCGGCGUGGCACCGGCUUUAAGCGUAGCAGAAUCUUUCGCUUCAAAAGUUGGGGCCCCGUCUGCCGGAAGACCUACUCGCAAGGUUGACCUCGGAUCAGGCAGGGAUACCCGCUGAACUUAAGCAUAUCAAUAAG